UUUACAAUUUAUUACAGACAAAGUCUAUCUGAAGCUAACAAUCAUCUAACCAACCGACGAAUUAUUUGACAAUAUCAAAAAUUUCUACAUAGAAAAGCUUAAACUAAAAAAUGUCAGUAACAAGGCAAUAAAAUUAUAGAGUGUAAAAUUAAACGUUUCCCAAAUCUGCAAGUAAAAAAAUCUUUUCCUGGUGAAAUGGAAAGCUAAACCUAGUUUUCCGGAAUUACGAUUAUAACUUUAGAAUCACAAAAACGGCUCAAGAAUGAAUCGACGGUGCUGCAGUUUGUGUUUGCCUAAAAUGCCUCCUUCGCAACACAUGGAUCACAUAGCCUGGUCACCGGGACAAGAAAUGAAACCCCCGCUAAAAGGACACGGAAUUGACGAUAAUAUUGACGUUAUGUACGCAAAAUUAGUUGAUGUUAUAGGCAUCAUGUUUUUUGCCUUGGUAAUGAUGUUCAAAUUCUGGAUCAAGGCCGCACUAUAUGUGAUCUGGAGCUUCCACGCUUUGAGAAAGGCUGACAGGGAAAUACAGAUCACUCUAGUGUUCAUGGCUAUUCUUAUCUUAUCCUCAAUAACUUUUAAUACUGUUUUCGGUAAACGCUAUUCGGUACGUUGCAGUUAAUUAUGAUGAUAGCAAGGAUAACAUACUUGUCGGAAGUUCACAGAAAAGGAUUCUUCCUAUGGAAAUCAGCAAUAAGAGCAAAUGGCGAUCUGGAGAAUCUUUUGCAUUUGACGAAUCUUUAAAUAUCAGUGUUGACUUGUAGUAACUCUGAAGCCGAUCGAUCGCCUUAAUGGGAGUCGUAUUUUUCAAAUCGUAGUAAUAUACAAUGCCCAUGCAGUGUAAGACGUUACACCUUGGAAGCUGCGAAAUACCACAAAAGAAUUAUGUAAUUCAGACCACAUUUUGAAAAUGUUGCUGCAUAAAAAAUUACGAAUCUACGAGGCUUGCUGUAAGGAAUCAAUGUUGAUUCGGCACGUAUGCCUUGACAAUACUGGGUGAGGAUAAUUUUUCA